rnacentral:rRNA from 1 species
GCAGGCUGCAACUCGCCUGCAUGAAGCUGGAAUUGCUAGUAAUCGCGGAUCAGCACGCCGCGGUGAAUACGUUCCCGGGCCUUGUACACACCGCCCGUCACACCAUGAGAGUCGGGAACACCCGAAGUCCGUAGUCUAACCGCAAGGGGGCGCGGCCGAAGGUGGGUCCGGUAAUUGGGGUGAAGUCGUAACAAGGUAAC